AACGAACGCUGGCGGCAGGCCUAACACAUGCAAGUCGAACGCCCCGCAAGGGGAGUGGCAGACGGGUGAGUAACGCGUGGGAACCUUCCCAGUGGUACGGAAUAACUGACCGAAAGGUUGGCUAAUACCGUAUACGCCCGAAAGGGGAAAGAUUUAUCGCCAUUGGAUGGGCCCGCGUCGGGUUAGCUGGUUGGUGAGGUAAUGGCUCACCAAGGCGACGAUCCGUAGCUGGUCUGAGAGGAUGAUCAGCCACACGGGGACUGAGACACGGCCCAGACUCCUCCGGGAGGCAGCAGUGGGGAAUAUUGGACAAUGGGCGCAAGCCUGAUCCAGCCAUGCCGCGUGAGUGAUGAAGGUCUUCGGAUUGUAAAACUCUUUCGCCGGGGAAGAUAAUGACGGUACCCGGAGAAGAAGCUCCGGCUAACUCCGUGCCAGCCGCCGCCGUAA
rnacentral:rRNA from 1 species